rnacentral:snoRNA from 1 species
GAGAUAUGAUGAUUUUACAUUGGUCCGUGUUUCUGAAUUACCGUGACCGACACAAAUCUUACCAAUUUCUGAUCUC